rnacentral:rRNA from 1 species
AUUGAACGCUGGCGGCAGGCUUAACACAUGCCAGUCGAGCGGGGAAAGGUAGCUUGCUACCUGACCUAGCGGCGGACGGGUGAGUAAUGCUUAGGAAUCUGCCUAUUAGUGGGGGACAACAUCUCGAAAGGGAUGCUAAUACCGCAUACGUCCUACGGGAGAAAGCAGGGGACCUUCGGGCCUUGCGCUAAUAGAUGAGCCUAAGUCGGAUUAGCUAGUUGGUGGGGUAAAGGCCUACCAAGGCGACGAUCUGUAGCGGGUCUGAGAGGAUGAUCCGCCACACGGGGACUGAGACACGGCCCAGACUCCACGGGAGGCAGCAGUGGGGAAUAUUGGACAAUGGGGGGAACCCUGAUCCAGCCAUGCCGCGUGUGUGAAGAAGGCCGUUUGGUUGUAAGACACUUUAAGCGGGGAGGAGGCUACCGAGAUUAAUACUCUUGGAUAGUGGACGUUACUCGCAGAAUAAGCACCGGCUAACUCUGUG